rnacentral:rRNA from 1 species
UACGUAGGUGGCAAGCGUUGUCCGGAAUUAUUGGGCGUAAAGCGCGCGCAGGCGGUUUCUUAAGUCUGAUGUGAAAGCCCCCGGCUCAACCGGGGAGGGUCAUUGGAAACUGGGGAACUUGAGUGCAGAAGAGGAGAGUGGAAUUCCACGUGUAGCGGUGAAAUGCGUAGAGAUGUGGAGGAACACCAGUGGCGAAGGCGACUCUCUGGUCUGUAACUGACGCUGAGGCGCGAAAGCGUGGGGAGCGAACAGGAUUAGAUACCCUGGUAGUCCACGCCGUAAACGAUGAGUGCUAAGUGUUAGAGGGUGUCCGCCCUUUAGUGCUGCAGCAAACGCAUUAAGCACUCCGCCUGGGGAGUACGGUCGCAAGACUGAA